GCGAGAGUGGCGGAACUGGCAGACGCGCUGGACUUAGGAUCCAGAGGGUGUGCAAGCCCGUGGGGGUUCAAGUCCCCCCUCUCGCA
rfam:Candidatus Rokubacteria bacterium RIFCSPLOWO2_12_FTLL_69_21 rifcsplowo2_12_scaffold_69289, whole genome shotgun sequence.